rnacentral:rRNA from 1 species
UGUGUAGGCGGUUCUUUAAGUUUGCUGUGAAAUCUCCCGGCUUAACCGGGAGGGUGCGGUGAAUACUGAGGGACUAGAGUACGGGAGAGGAAAGUGGAAUUCCUGGUGUAGCGGUGAAAUGCGUAGAUAUCAGGAGGAACACCGGUGGUGUAGACGGCUUUCUGGACCGUAACUGACGCUGAAACACGAAAGCGUGGGUAGCAAACA